GGCCAACCAGAACACAGGCUGUAAAAGGGAGUAAAGACAAACCUCUAGAGACGGUGAUCACACACAAAUCAGCAUCUCCAAAACAGUUGGAUGAAUGGUCAAAAACUUUUAAGUAUUCACGAGACGUGGUUAUCAGAGUUGUGCAGGUUCCGAGUGAAACCAACAACAUUAUUUGUUCAGCAAAAGAGAAACCUGGAGUAUGUCCUUAUUGCGGGAUUUCUGGUCACUGGCAACGAGAAUGUUGGAAAAUAAAACGGGAUUUUAUGAGAAGUGUCCAGGAGAAGAAGAGUCCGUUUAAGGGAAAAUGGAAACAGGACAAAAGCCCCAAUGACACAACACUUAUGGAGACAUUUAAGAAGCUCUCUCCGGCUCAGCAGCAGAGAUGCUGUGGAGGUUAUGAGAAUCCAUCAUCCGAGGCUGCAGCAAUAUCCCUCGACUGUGCCUGAAACGAUACAGGAACAUCCUCACCCACUGAGCACCGACCAGCACCGGACGUUCAUGAACAUUGAAAAGUAGUUCACAUUUGGUCAGGACACCCUGGCCUUGACGUUAACACCCAGACAAAACGGACUGGACCAAAUCUGAACCAACUGCAUCGUAGAAACCAUCAUUUUCUCCUGGUGUCUGAGAUAGUUGGUGCCAGAGAGACCAAAGAAGAUGACCAAACAAACUAAGAUGGUCGAAGGAAGCAUAAAGUUCUGUUGUAUCCGUCUGCAUUCACAGUGUCCUACAUGGAGAGGACCAAACAUCCCUGCUGGAGGUGUAGACAUCAUCUUCCAUUGCUUGGAUUAGGCACAGCGUCAACAGUGGGUCCAGACCAUCAAAAACCAGCUCUCACUACUCAGCAGCCGACCGAAACGCUUGCUAGUGUACAUCAAUCCCUACGGUGGAAAACAGCGUGGGAAGCGGCUUUACGAGCAGAGAGCAGCACCACUCUUCUCCCGAGCCUCUAUCUCCACCGACGUGAUCAGUGACUUACUGUCAUAGGGCCUACAUUAACAUUUAAAUAACAAAUGAGCAUUUAUGGCCGGCAAAUAUUUAUUUGUUGACUUGGCAAACAGCCUAUACCCGCCAACCACUCCCAAGAAUAUGGUUUUAUUUAUAGCACCAUCCAUCAAGGGAACACUAAUGGAAGCUGUGAUAGUCGAUAAACAUGAGAAUCCAUUCCAAACACAUCUAUGAUUCGUGUGAUGCUUUGAGAAGAUCAUGGAUCAUCUAGGGCAGGGGUACUCAACGCUCACCCUAUGAGGUCCUGAGCCUGCUGAUUUUCAGUUCUACCUGAUAAUUAAUUGCACCCACUUGUUAUGCCAGGUCUAAAUCGUGAACCCUGAUUAGAGGGGAAUAAUGAAAACGUGUACUGGAACUGGCUUCGAGGUCCAGAGUUGAGUUUGAGGGGUCUAGGGUACUGGCAGGGGGAGGCAUCACAUAGGUUGGGAAGAUCAAGGAUCGUCUAGGGCAGGGAUGGGCAACUCCAGUCCUCAGAGGCUGGAGUGGUGUUUAACCCUUUCCCCAUCCCUAGCAAACACAGCUGAUUUAAACUAAUUGCAUUCUAAACUGAAGAUCAUGAUUAGUUGAUUAUUGGAGUCAGGUGUGUUAGCUGGGGCUGGGGCAAAAGUGUGACACCAAUCAGGCCCCCGAGAACUGGAGUUGCAAGUCCCUGGUCUAGGGUAUUGGCAGCUCGCGACCAUAGAACCGUCAUGGGCUUAAGUCUGGACCCAGCCCCAUAGCUCAAGGUGUUUUAAUUGGUGUGGGCAUUUCACCAUUAGUUGGAACACCUUUUUUUCCUUUUAGACAAUGGGAGGAGAAAUACUGUGUGCAGGAUUCUUGGCUUAACUAUUUUGUGUUGUAUGUGCAACAUCUUGACAAGCUUGUGAGAUAUUCGUCAUGGGUUUCUAAUACUGACCAUAUAACUUGUUGCCAUAGUUACGGAGAGUGCCAAUCAUGCCAGGGAUCACUAGAAGACGGAGGUAGAUCUGAAGCAAUGUGACGGGGUGGUGUGUGUGGAAGGAGACGGGAUGUUCAGUGAGGUUGUCCACGGCCUGGACCCAGAGUGAUUCCAGAGUGGACCAGAACCAAUCGAACCAGGACCUGGUUCCAUGUGUGCUCCGCAUUGGAAUCAUCCCUGCAGGUGACUCCCAACUCAUGGACGUGUGUUCUGUCCGUCACAACAACACCUUCCUCAGGUAAGUCUCGCUGCUCGGAUACGGUUUCUACGGAGACCUCCUGACGGACUGCGAAAGGAAGUGCUGGAUGGGGCCUCCCAGAUACGAUCUCUCAGGUCUAAUGAUGUUCCUGACCCAUCAGUAUUAUGAAGGGACUGUCACUUUCCUGCCCGCUGAGGACAAACCUGGGGAAACUUAGAGACAAGGUCAAGGACAAGUGCAGAACUGGGUGUCAUAUCUGUGAGCAGGUUGCCAACAAUAGGCAGCCCCUCUUAGGGGAUCAUGUCUACUCGAUGGCUGAAGAGGACUCUGACAAGGAGACGAGCGGUGAUUGUGUAUGGCGGUUGAUCCGGGGGAAGUUCCUAGCAAUCAACGCUGCCGGCAUGAGCUGUGCCUGUCCUUGCAGCCCAAGAGGCCUGUUGCCAGAACCGGGCGGCCCUAUACACUCACUACGCAAGUAGGACCCUGCAAAUUACGCUAGGGCCCGCCUCCCCCUUGUGUCAAAGCGGGUGUCAAUGUUUACAACUUCGAUGAGAGGAUGAAGUGGAAGUAUCCUUCUGGUCACGAAAAGAGAGAACAAAACACCAUGAGAGUGAAUUGUGGGAACAGCAAUCAGCGUCGUCCAAUGUGACAACCUGAGGUCUUCCAUGUCACAGGAGUGACACGUGUGUGUGGUCUGGCCAUCAUGAGCAUAAAUCAUGACGUGGGGAAACACAUGUCCUAUGAUGACAUCAUUGAUGAUUUUUCUCAAAGUGCAGUAGAGGAAUAUUUUGAUGACAGUACAGAUAGACUGGUGCUGAUGCUGGAAAUGCCCAGACUGCAGAGGGAACCAAAGUUAAUCACACAGCUGUAUAGAUUUUAUUUGACUGUUUUAAGACAUACAGCUGCAGCCAGAGCCUAUAGGCUUAUGUUUACAUUGUAUAGACAAAGCUAAUUGUAUAAUACUGUGAGGACUGGACUAAUUGCCAGGCAGCAGAGCCAUAGCUCAGUGUUAUAUUUGAUUAUUUUCUACUUUUGAUAUUUUCUACAAUUUCUUAUUUAUGUUCACGUUAAUAUUCACUUAUCUUAAGAUUCUAUAGAAAAUAUUCUAUUCAUUAAAAUUGUUUGUUUAUACCUUUGUCUGUAUAGGUCUACUU